UUAAUCUUUAAAAAAUAAACUAGUUUAAUUUGAUGGAAGACAAGUAACCAGUCUUUUAUUGGACCAACUUCUGUUGUUGAGAGAGACAAGCUUUUGAGCUUACAAAGAGCUCUUCUCGAAAGCUUGUCUCUCUCACUAACAAAAAUUGGUCCAAUAAAAGAUAUUACCUCCCCCACCUUGUCUCUUUAAUAUCCUUGGACUGACAUAGCUACAACACUGCAACAAGUAACCAGUCUGGCAGUGAUGCUCUCGGAGGACAUAGUGGAUGGGCAUGAGCAGGCGAUGCUGAAGCGGAUCCUGCGCAUUGACUCCAAAUGUCUGCACUUCAUCCCCAAGGACAGGAGCAAGAGGGGCAAGUGGUGAGAGGCAGGGUCUAUCUGCCACCCACUCCCCCAUGGCCCUGGCAUGGGCCUCACAGCCAUCCAGCUAAUGUGCAGCUCCUGGGAGCUUAUCGCAGGGUUGGGACAGACUGGCAACAGCAUCUCCAAGGAUGAUCAUGUGCUCUGCCACAGGGCUAAGCUGGGGCUGCAUUUCUGGCCAUGGCUCGACCCCCAUGGGAAGGGGAAGAGGCCCCCAUGCUGCUCUCCUUGACUCAGUGCCAGGGUGAGGGCCCGAUUUGUAUGUAGGACUUGCAUCUUGCCAGGCCAUCCUGUACAGUGUGGGCUGUGAUUGAGGAGCCCAACGGCUGGGAAUGGGUGGUCCGGGGACCUGAAAGCUGG